rnacentral:ncRNA from 1 species
GCAUUUUCGAGCCAAAAGUGUGAAACGCCUACGCGGGGAAAUCAGUCCAUUGGACCGAUUUCUGAUCCCGCUUCGAUACAUAGGAUAAUGCGACAAAAUAAAUAGUUAGAGCAGUUCCGGCUAUUCUGUUAAAAUAGGAACCGCUCUAAAACAUUUUCAAACCAAAAAACCUCCGGCAUGAACCGGAGGUUUUUUGGUUUUGAAGCUCGCCU